rnacentral:rRNA from 1 species
UACGUAGGUGGCGAGCGUUGUCCGGAAUUACUGGGCGUAAAGGGCGCGUAGGCGGCUCUUUAAGUUAGAUGUGAAAACCCAGGGCUUAACUCUGGGACUGCAUUUAAAACUGAAGGGCUUGAGUGCAGGAGAGGUAAGUGGAAUUCCUAGUGUAGCGGUGAAAUGCGUAGAUAUUAGGAGGAACACCAGUGGCGAAGGCGACUUACUGGACUGUAACUGACGCUGAGGCGCGAAAGCGUGGGGAGCAAACAGGAUUAGAUACCCUGGUAGUCCACGCCGUAAACGAUGGAUACUAGGUGUGGGAGGUAUCGACCCCUUCCGUGCCGCAGUAAACGCAAUAAGUAUCCCGCCUGGGGAGUACGGCCGCAAGGUUGAA